rnacentral:sRNA from 1 species
CAGGUAUCGUGCGAGGCAUUGGCAUAGAUGUGUUCUGAUUGUCAGCCAAAACACCAGGCUCAUGGAAAUGCAGGUGCUGUUUGCUUCAAGAGAGCAUUCUCUGGAUGCCCUCCCAUGCACACACGCCUGGGGUGGCUCACCUCCACCCAGCCCUGAGCCUCCGAGGGCAGAGACUCAAGGGCCCAGGGAAGGGUGGCUACAGUGAGCCUGGGCCGUGAACACUUACCCCUUUUAUUGCCUUCAGAGGGCUCCUGCCACAGCAGAUGAAGCAAGAAAGUUGGAGGAGGCCAAGUCAAGAGGCUCCCUGGUGGAUUUCAUUAAACGGUUUCCCCGAAUCUUUCUGAGGCUCCUGAUGAACCCGCUCUUCGUC